GACGAACGCUGGCGGCGUGCUUAACACAUGCAAGUCGAACGGAAAGGCCUGCUUUCCCUUGUGGAUUGCGGGUACUCGAGUGGCGAACGGGUGAGUAACACGUGAGUGAUCUGCCCCCAACUUGGGUAUAAGCCUGGGAAACUGGGUCUAAUUCCCGAUAGGACUGCAGGGUGGUGCCUGUGGUGGAAAACGAUUUUCUCGUGGUUGGGGAUGAGCUCGCGGCCUAUCAGCUUGUUGGUGGGGUAAUGGCCUACCAAGGCUGCGACGGGUAGCCGGCCUGAGAGGGUGGACGGCCACAUUGGGACUGAGAUACGGCCCAGACUCCUACGGGAGGCAGCAGUGGGGAAUAUUGCACAAUGGGCGGAAGCCUGAUGCAGCGACGCCGCGUGGGGGAUGACGGCCUUCGGGUUGUAAACUCCUUUCGACCGCGAGGAAGCCACCUGGUUGGAAGGGUGGUGACGGUAGUGGUAGAAGAAGCACCGGCUAACUACGUG
rnacentral:rRNA from 1 species